rfam:Myotis davidii contig85276, whole genome shotgun sequence.
GGUAGUUCUCGGGUGAUGCCCCCUGAAAUCAGGGUCCCUCCUCUCUGGUUCAGGGUGCGUCACCCGAGAAUUGCA